rnacentral:lncRNA from 1 species
UCUAACUUUCUUUUAACUAGGAAUGCAUGAAAGUUUGUUUCUCUUUUUUAGUGGAGGGGCUGUGAAUGGAACCCAGGGCUUCCCGGAUGUCAGGCUGUGAAGGGAAGACCAGGAGACAGACUGAAAACAGAUUACGGUUCAGAUUUCUUCCCUGAGGAACAUUCAUUCCAGUCGCUUUCUCUACCAAUGAGAGACUCCAACUCCUCUCCCUUGGAAUAUGACUGAUUGCCCCAUUCCACAGGAGUCAAACUCUAGAACAUUCCCACCUGAAGACCUGUGACUCCUGUUGCUACCAGAUUCUAUCCUAUUAAUUAAUUAAUCAAUUAAUUAAGCUGGGAAUUGAACUUGGGGCCUUACAUGUGCUAGGCAAACACUCUACCACAGAGGCAUACUCCCACCCUCCUCCUAAUUAUCCCAAGCCCAGCCAUGUGGCUUGUGUUUGGAUUUCUACUCAUCAUUGCUGUGUGCAGCAAGGACUCAAGAGACAAAGCAGGAACACACUGGUUUGCCCAGGACCCUCUCCCAAUCUGAUGGUUCUCUUCCUUCUAAGAAUCUCUGCAUCUACCAUGGAGACUUCUGCCCUGGAAAGGAGCAGGAGUGUGGGAGGAGACGUCAGCUGCAAAGACAUCGUCUACAUUGUAAGGAGGCGCUGGGACAGAUGAGGCCAGAGGUGGGCAGCUAUUACAGUUCGGAUUUGAAAUAUCCUAGAACGCUCACAUGUUGAAGGUUGGUUCAGUUGUCUGUGCAACUAGGAGGUGGGAACCUAGAUAGAAGAAGGAAGUCAUGGAGGGGAGGAGGAGGGAACUGGGAUUGACAUGUAAAACAAUCUUGUUUCUAAUAAAU